rnacentral:rRNA from 1 species
AUUGAACGCUGGCGGCAUGCCUUACACAUGCAAGUCGAACGGCAGCACGGGUGCUUGCCCCUGGUGGCGAGUGGCGAACGGGUGAGUAAUACAUCGGAACAUGUCCUUUAGUGGGGGAUAGCCCGGCGAAAGCCGGAUUAAUACCGCAUACGAUCUACGGAUGAAAGCGGGGGCCCUUCGGGCCUCGCGCUAUAGGGUUGGCCGAUGGCUGAUUAGCUAGUUGGUGGGGUAAAGGCCUACCAAGGCGACGAUCAGUAGCUGGUCUGAGAGGACGACCAGCCACACUGGGACUGAGACACGGCCCAGACUCCUACGGGAGGCAGCAGUGGGGAAUUUUGGACAAUGGGCGAAAGCCUGAUCCAGCAAUGCCGCGUGUGUGAAGAAGGCCUUCGGGUUGUAAAGCACUUUUGUCCGGAAAGAAAUCCUUGGCCCUAAUACGGUCGGGGGAUGACGGUACCGGAAGAAUAAGCACCGGCUAACUACGUG